GUUACACGUUACCAAUACUGUUUUGCCCAAGCUGGAACGGGUUGUUGAGCGUAACCUUCUUCACCACGUGCGGCCCUGCCUGCCGGUGAUGCCGGGACUGGAAUGGAUGCCACAGCGAGCUGUUUCGCUGCUGUCGCUCGGUCGUGGGAGAGACUAGAUAAAAGCCAAAGACCGGAAAUACCAUUGCUUUGUGCCCCAGAGGAGCUCAGUGCACAACUGCGCGUCUUGCCCAACGCCGCGCGGGUGAGGCGGCAGCCCUCGCACCUCCGGGAACUGGAAGUCCACCUUUUGCUCUGCCGCGGUGAGAAGCAGCCAGCGACGAUGUCUACUGAGCGCUGGAGCGAGGAGAGUCCUCCUUUGCCGAGCAGGAAGCCUUGUGUGUGCGUAACCGCGCAUCCCAGCGCAGUUAUGAAUCCACUGAUGGGAGACCCUGUUGCUGUUGACUCCGCUCUCUGCACAACCUCGAGUAUGAAACAGGUUUCCAGAGAGACAAGGACGGGAUCAAAGUGGGAGCUUGCAGCUGCAGUGCCGAUUCGCUCAUGGCCAGCUUCAGCAAGGUUGGGUUGUUUUUUAUUUUUUUGAUUAAAGCCUCUGUUCUUCUUGUCUGGCUCAAUCACGCAUUCAGAAGCCUGAGAGUGGCAUUAAUAAGGCUAGCGCCACGUAUCUGUGAAAUAUUGGCCUCUCUGCAGAAAACAAUGGUUGCUAAGUUACAGUGCUCAUGUGUGUAAAAGAUAUUUAGUGAAAUCUUACACAACAGCCUUCAGUGCAGCCCAUCAAACAUUUGUUCUUGGGAGAACAUCUGAUUACUGAGUAUUUUUAGCAACUGACAUGUGUACAACACAUGCAUAUAAUUAUAUAUAGCUAUAUAUAGAGGUGCCUGUCUUAUUUACAGACACACACACACACACACACACACACACACACACACACUUUCUUGUAUAUGAGAAACAAGAACAGAUUGUUUUUAAUCCACCGAGUAUUUUUACAAUAGAGCAAUAUGACUGGAGCAAUAUGAUUUCUCUCUCUUUGCCAUGAACAUUUUCAUGCAAAUUUGUGCUUAUUUAUUCCUAUAUAGGAGAAACUCUUCUGACAAUGUGGGAAGGUGCUUUUUAUUGUGCAAUCACAACUGUUAGCAGCCUGAAUUAUUUCUGGUGGGGCCUGUCACUCCUCCAAGUACUGCUACUUCGUUUUUUAAUGCGGAGCUGUUGGAAGACACUGGCGCUGUCCUGCUUUGUCAGUCACAGAAGGCAAACUUGCCAUUAAAAAAAUUGUACGUAUGACCUUUGGAAGUGCCUGUUGCCUUUUCGUUCUUGGUGUGUGUUCUAAAGCAUAUUUUUUAAUGAAAGAGUGCUUCUGUGGUGCAUUAAAGAGGAACUGAGCCAUUCAUCUUGCCUACACUGUGCUUGCUUCUGCUGGGAAAGUCGUUCCCUACGGUCUGGUGGAAAACGCUGGGUCAGGAAGCACGUGGGCUAUCUGCUCGAUCUGGACCUGCAGCAAUUCAUCAAGUGCUUCAGAUCUGGAAACAAACUGUUGCCUUUAGUGCAAGUCCCGCUGACCCUCAGUCAGUAAAGUCAUCCAACAGUUUGUUUGUUUGUUUGUUUUUAAACUGUGCUUUCUCUAAAACGAAAAUAGCUCUAGGACGCAGGCACAGAGUAUUUUACACUUCCCAGCCCUGCCACCACCUCGGCAGCCCGGCUGUAGAGGCUGUAUCAGAGCUGUGAGCGAGCCCUUGAGGUGCAUCGGCGCAGCUGGCCCGUGACAGCUUUUUACCGCCAGCCGCCCGGCUGCCGUCAGCGCNNNNNNNNNNNNNNNNNNNNNNNNNNNNNNNNNNNNNNNNNNNNNNNNNNNNNNNNNNNNNNNNNNNNNNNNNNNNNNNNNNNNNNNNNNNNNNNNNNNNNNNNNNNNNNNNNNGAAAGCUUGGCUGGGCGAAGCGUAGAGGUGGCACCAAGACGAACUAAAGCAUUUGCCGCAUUAUGGGAGACGCAGGUCCCUAAGGACAGGAAUGAGGCUUGGUGGUCAUGGUGGUACGGCGUUUAUGCCUCCUUAUGAGUACUAGGAAACAGUAGUUUACAUUAGGAGUAGUGUGGCGAAUAAGGUGGCCCAACCCUGCCUUUGACCUCAUCUGUAACAGAAGGACCAGCUGUGACGGUGAAAACGAACAUAAACUACUGGCAUUUGCUAGCGCCAGCGCCGAUCCCAACUCUUAACAGAGAAGGCAGCAAUAAGCCGGGCUCUUGCACCGUCAUGUUCCCAAACACGAGCCCAGACCCUACGCAAACCUUAGGUCCGAUGCCGCCACAGGCGGUAGAGUUAGCUGUGGUUAGUCGUCGUCCGUUCGCACAAGGUGUAGAGGGUGACAAUGGGGGUGGCUCUUCUUGCUGACAUGAAAAAGCCUGUUUCAAGGUGUUUUGUAGAGGACUGAAUGUCUCUCACUGCACCUGAGGUUCAGGUGGAAGUUAGGGUUACAUUUCAGGAAAAGGCACAUCUGAAAUCCCGGGUUAACGCCAGGUCCUGCACGCAGUGAGCAGCGGCCUGUCAGCCGCGUGCCGAAACAAGGCUAGCCAGCCCGACGAGAUGAGCUGGAAACGCAGGCUGAAAAUGAUAAAAGCGGAAAGGAAACCAAGCCAAGUGAAUAUAAUACGUGAAAAUAGAUCUAGAAGUAGGAUUAAAAGGAAAGAGGACAGACCAAAUAAGAGCAAAUAGUCAUUUUUUUUCCAAAUUACUUCAAAGGUGGUUCACUGUAAGUUUUGAACUUUGUGAAAAUAUUUCACAAAUUCGAAUUUCCAGUGAAACCAGUUUUUCUGGAAAAUUCCUGACAGGUCCAGGGGGGUUUUCCCCGUCCUCUCUGUGCCGUACAGGCAGCCUCAGCAAAGGGCAGACCCUGCUUCCCUGCCUCCCGUGGCCGGGGGAAGGGGUCACGGCGGGUUUCGCAGCUCCCAGAGGGGCCCACGCUCCCCAUGCAGCGUGGGCCUUCGCAGUCAAAUAACCUGCAUACACUACACGUAAGCUCGGAUUUACCAUGUUUUGUCUCUGUGUUUUCAGUGCGAGCACAGCCCCAGUUCAUAACCCGCCCCCGGCGCUUGCAGACUGAGCUCGGCUGCGAGCGGCCUUUGCUGCUGGACAGUGCGUCUUCGCCUUGGGAGCUGCUGGCGCCCCGGCGGACCUGGGGCACUGCGUAAAGAGCAUAGCCCCCAAGCACUAUUUAAAAUAAACCCCAAUCUCUCCCCA
ensembl:lncRNA